rnacentral:rRNA from 1 species
UACAGAGGUCUCAAGCGUUGUUCGGAUUCAUUGGGCGUAAAGGGUGCGUAGGCGGCGCGGUAAGUCGGGUGUGAAAUCUCGGAGCUUAACUCCGAAACUGCAUUCGAUACUGCCGUGCUUGAGGACUGGAGAGGAGACUGGAAUUUACGGUGUAGCGGUGAAAUGCGUAGAUAUCAGGAAGAACACCCGUGGCGAAAGCGGCUCUCUGGAACGGUACUGACGCUGAGACGCGAAAGCGUGGGGAGCGAACAGG